UCCUGCAGUUCUCAACAUGUUUCCCAUGCAAGCUAAGCAGGAUUGAGCCUGGCCAAUACCUGGAUGGGAGACCUCCUUGGGAAAACUAAGGUUGCUGCUGGAA
rnacentral:rRNA from 1 species